GGAGGGUGCAAGCGUUGUUCGGAAUUACUGGGCGUAAAGGGCGUGUAGGCGGCCUUGCAAGCCAGACGUGAAAGCCCUCGGCUUAACCGGGGAAGUGCGUCUGGAACUGCUCGGCUCGAGUACGGGAGAGGGAGGCGGAAUUCCCAGUGUAGAGGUGAAAUUCGUAGAUAUUGGGAGGAACACCGGUGGCGAAAGCGGCCUCCUGGACCGAUACUGACGCUGAGGUGCGAAAGCGUGGGUAGCAAACAGGAUUAGAUACCCUGGUAGUCCACGCCGUAAACGAUGGGCACUAGGUGCAGCGGGUGUCGACCCCUGCUGUGCCGAAGUUAACGCAUUAAGUGCCCCGCCUGGGGAGUACGGUCGCAAGGCUG
rnacentral:rRNA from 1 species